rnacentral:lncRNA from 1 species
CAUAGCUUAUAUAUAUUCAGUACUAACCUACAUGUUUGUGUUGGUGCAGUGGCGAGCCAUGACUCUGCCUGAUAGAUACAUUGAGCAUGGAUCUCAGAAGGAUCAAAUUCAAGCAGUGAUAUUCAGUACUGACCUACAUGUUUGUGUUAGUGCAGUGGCGAGCCAUGACUCUACCUGAUAGAUACAUUGAGCAUGGAUCUCAGAAGGAUCAAAUUCAAGCAGUGGGGUUGAGUUCAAACCAUAUUGUAGCUACUGCUUUGUCAUUAACCAAUGUUCAAUGGGACAAUCGUUUGCUUCUCAGCAUGGAAAUAUGAACCUUGUUAUUAAUAGGAUUUCAAAUGUAAAUAAAUAUAUAACACUAAUAAAUUAAAACUCUGCCAAAGAUUUGUUAUUAGACCGUGUUUAUUUGAUGAUUAUUAAAA